rnacentral:rRNA from 1 species
GACGAACGCUGGCGGCGUGCCUAAUACAUGCAAGUAGAACGCACAGUUUAUACCGUAGCUUGCUACACCAUAGACUGUGAGUUGCGAACGGGUGAGUAACGCGUAGGUAACCUGCCUGGUAGCGGGGGAUAACUAUUGGAAACGAUAGCUAAUACCGCAUAAUAUUAAUUAUUGCAUGAUAAUUAAUUGAAAGGUGCAAUUGCACCACUACCAGAUGGACCUGCGUUGUAUUAGCUAGUAGGUGAGGUAACGGCUCACCUAGGCGACGAUACAUAGCCGACCUGAGAGGGUGAUCGGCCACACUGGAACUGAGACACGGCCCAGACUCCUACGGGAGGCAGCAGUAGGGAAUCUUCGGCAAUGGACGAAAGUCUGACCGAGCAACGCCGCGUGAGUGAAGAAGGUUUUCGGAUCGUAAAGCUCUGUUGUAAGAGAAGAACGGGUGUGAGAGUGGAAAGUUCACACUGGGACGGGAUCUUACCAGAAAGGGACGGCAAACUACGG